rnacentral:rRNA from 1 species
AUUGAACGCUGGCGGCAGGCCUAACACAUGCAAGUCGAACGAGUGGCGGACGGGUGAGUAAUGUCUGGGAAACUGCCUUAUGGAGCGGGCUAACUACUGGAAACGGUAGCUAAUACCGCAUACCAUCGGAUGUGCCCAGAUGGGAUUAGCUAGUAGGUGGGGUAAAGGCUCACCUAGGCGACGCUCCCUAGCUGGUCUGAGAGGAUGACCAGCCACACUGGGACUGAGACACGGUCCAGACUCCUACGGGAGGCAGCAGUGGGGAAUAUUGCACAAUGGGCGAAAGCCUGAUGCAGCCAUGCCGCGUGUAUGAAGAAGGUCUUCGGGUUGUAAAGUACUUUCAGCAGGGAGGCGUUACCCACAGAAGAAGCACCGGCUAACUCCGUGCCAGCAGCCGCGGUAAUUC